AACCACAGGGAGUCAAGAUGCUCUUGGGGUAAGAAGUCCGGAUCCUUUCUCUGGGAUAGCCUCAAAUGAAACCACCCUUGACCUGUACUUCCUUCACUGAGGGCAAAGCCUAGUAUGUAUGUGCUUCAUGUUUUCUUCCUGCGAACAUUACCUGCUGGCUUUAUAUGUGGGACCAGAGGUACUGUAACAGCUACGGAGCCCAGAGAGGGCAGAAGAAAGAGAGAAAAGCUGAAGGCUAUUGGCAUUGGCAAAUCUGCUUGUGGAAGUGUAAGACGUCCUUAUUUGUGACAUCACAGUGAUUAUUCCUGGUCACAUGAAUUAAUAUUAAAUAUAGCUGUGGAUUGCAAUCAUAUCAAUUUAAAGCUUUCGGGCGCUCUUUCCUCUUGUGUGGAAAUGUCG